rnacentral:rRNA from 1 species
GAUGAACGCUGGCGGCGUGCCUAAUACAUGCAAGUCGAACGAGGUCUUCGGACCUAGUGGCGAACGGGUGAGUAACACGUGGGUACCUACCCCGAAGUGGGGAAUAACUGACCGCAAGGGUGGCUAAGACCGCAUAAUACGGCAAGGUUAAAGCAGUAAUGCGCUUCGGGAGGGGCCUGCCUCCCAUUAGCGAGUUGGUAGGGUAAUGGCCUACCAAGGCGACGAUGGGUAGCUGGGUCGGGGGGUUGACCAGCCACACUGGGACUGAGACACGGCCCAGACUCCUACGGGAGGCAGCAGUAAGGAAUCUUCCACAAUGGACGAAAGUCUGAUGGAGCAACGCCGCGUGCAGGAUGACGGCCUUCGGGUUGUGAACUGCUUUUAUACGGGAAGAUUAUGACGGUACCGUAUGAAUAAGGACCGGCUAACUACGUGCCAGCAGCCGCCGCCG